GCGGGAGAGCUCAAAUUUGUAAUCUGGCCCUUUCAGGGUCCGAGUUGUAAUCUCGAGAAGUGUUUUCCGCGUCGGACUGCAUACAAGUCUAUUGGAAUAUAGCGUCAUAGUGGUGAGAGCCCCGUAACUGAUGCAGAUGCCCGAUGCUUUGUGAUACACUUUCGAAGAGUCGAGUUGUUUGGGAAUGCAGCUCAAAUUGGGUGGUAAAUUCC
rnacentral:rRNA from 1 species